rnacentral:rRNA from 1 species
GACGAACGCUGGCGGCGUGCCUAAUACAUGCAAGUAGAACGCUGAAGAGAGGAGCUUGCUCUUCUUGGAUGAGUUGCGAACGGGUGAGUAACGCGUAGGUAACCUGCCUUGUAGCGGGGGAUAACUAUUGGAAACGAUAGCUAAUACCGCAUAACAAUGGAUGACACAUGUCAUUUAUUUGAAAGGGGCAAUUGCUCCACUACAAGAUGGACCUGCGUUGUAUUAGCUAGUAGGUGAGGUAAUGGCUCACCUAGGCGACGAUACAUAGCCGACCUGAGAGGGUGAUCGGCCACACUGGGACUGAGACACGGCCCAGACUCCUACGGGAGGCAGCAGUAGGGAAUCUUCGGCAAUGGGGGCAACCCUGACCGAGCAACGCCGCGUGAGUGAAGAAGGUUUUCGGAUCGUAAAGCUCUGUUGUAAGUCAAGAACGGGUGUGAGAGUGGAAAGUUCACACUGUGACGGUAGCUUACCAGAAAGGGACGGCUAACUACGUGCCAGCAGCCGCGGUAAUACGUAGGUCCCGAGCNGUGUCCCGGAUUUAUGGGCGUAAAGCGAGCGCAAGGCGGUUUGAUAAGUCUGAAGUUAAGGCUGUGGCUCAACCAUAGUUCGCUUUGGAAACUGUCAAACUUGAGUGCAGAAGGGGAGAGUGGAAUUCCAUGUGUAGCGGUGAAAUGCGUAGAUAUAUGGAGGAACACCGGUGGCGAAAGCGGCUCUCUGGUCUGUAACUGACGCUGAGGCUCGAAAGCGUGGGGAGCGAGCAGGAUUAGAUACCCUGGUAGUCCACGCCGUAAACGAUGAGUGCUAGGUGUUGGAUCCUUUCCGGGAUUCAGUGCCGCAGCUAACGCAUUAAGCACUCCGCCUGGGGAGUACGACCGCAAGGUUGAAACUCAAAGGAAUUGACGGGGGCCCGCACAAGCGGUGGAGCAUGUGGUUUAAUUCGAAGCAACGCGAAGAACCUUACCAGGUCUUGACAUCCCGAUGCUAUUUCUAGAGAUAGAAAGUUACUUCGGUACAUCGGUGACAGGUGGUGCAUGGUUGUCGUCAGCUCGUGUCGUGAGAUGUUGGGUUAAGUCCCGCAACGAGCGCAACCCCUAUUGUUAGUUGCCAUCAUUCAGUUGGGCACUCUAGCGAGACUGCCGGUAAUAAACCGGAGGAAGGUGGGGAUGACGUCAAAUCAUCAUGCCCCUUAUGACCUGGGCUACACACGUGCUACAAUGGUUGGUACAACGAGUUGCGAGUCGGUGACGGCGAGCUAAUCUCUUAAAGCCAAUCUCAGUUCGGAUUGUAGGCUGCAACUCGCCUACAUGAAGUCGGAAUCGCUAGUAAUCGCGGAUCAGCACGCCGCGGUGAAUACGUUCCCGGGCCU